rnacentral:lncRNA from 1 species
GAAGCGGGAGGAUUCCAGUGCAAUUCCAGGAAGGCCCUAUUUGACUAGGAUGACAACCACAAGACACCACCUAUCAAUCUGUGCAAAGCACGGUGAUAGCCUCGAUUGAAGAUAGGAUCAUACAUAAGCUGUGACCUUGUUCCUCAGGUGACGUAUAGUCUGGCAGGAGAGAUUAGAGACAGCAGAAGGCAGAAUAAAACAGAUACUACUUCUGAGCUUCCAGCUGCAUUCCACCAAGCCUAGAGGAUGAGCAGAAUGAUUGAUUCUCACAGCACUGCUUGGUACACUGAAGAAAUUCAUUACCAGGGGCCUGGCAGGGACUGUAAAGAUGUUCUUUGGAAGAUGAGAACCAGGGUAGUAAUAGCUCAUCAUUUUUAAAGUUCUAGUGAAGGCUGUCAUCAUAAACCGCAUCAUUUAUUUAAGCGUUUAUCUGUGUGAUGGGCCCAGUGAGCAGCAGACAUGGUCCUGCCCUCCCAGAGAGCUUAGGACCUAGGGAGCUGCAGGCAGACUGUGUGUGGCAGAGGAGUGUGGGUGUUGGGAGGUUGGGUAGGGUGUGACACACACCCGAACAUGCUCACAUUUCAUCUCACACAUGAUUUAUCUUUUUAACCACAGUUCCUGGGCACUAAAUUGGUGGAGAAGAGAGAGAGGACAACGUGGUGAAGCAGAGAAAGAUGUGGAAGCUUGGGUCCUGCCUUCAAGACCUCUACCCUUUUAUUUACACAUCUGACUUCUGCCUGUUGCAAACUUCCAAAGCAAGCUCUAAAGUUAAGAAGACAGGGGAAGCAGAGAAGAAAAGAAAACUUCACAUAAAUCUUGAAAGGAUUGCAACUCUGAGAUUUGAAGAGAGCAUGCCAAGAUAUCCCUGCUAAUUAAACUCAUUUCAAUUGGAAUUUACACCUUAUCCAUUCCUAAGAUGUCACUGGCAGUUUUCAAAAAAAGAUGCAGAUAUGAGAGAGCAAAAAGUCAAUCAGAAUUCACUGAGACCCUUGUGCAGAGUACUGGGUUGAGAGGGGUUCAUCUUUGGGCAGACAGCAGGGGCUUUGAAAUAGCCUAGCUGUGGAAGUGGGCAAGUUAUUCAGUACCUCUGAGUAUCAGUUUAUUCUUCUGUAAAACAAAGUUAAUAACCAUGGCACUUACCUUACCAGACUGCUGUAUGGAUUUAAGAAUAUGUAAAGUGUCUUGCCUGGAAAAUUCCAUAAAUGGAGUCUUGCUUGGUGGGCUCAGAUCAUGGGGUCACAAAGAGUUGGGCAUGAUUGAACAAGUGAACAUCCUUGCAAAGUGUUUGUAAGGUAGGAAUUAAAUGAGCACCUAAUAUACAGUGACUAUUGCUGUGAUUAUUUGUUUUUAAAAGUUUUUUUUUUUAAAGUUUGA